rnacentral:rRNA from 1 species
AUGAACGCUAGCUACAGGCUUAACACAUGCAAGUCGAGGGGCAGCAUGAACUUAGCUUGCUAAGUUUGAUGGCGACCGGCGCACGGGUGAGUAACACGUAUCCAACCUGCCGAUGACUCGGGGAUAGCCUUUCGAAAGAAAGAUUAAUACCCGAUGGCAUAGUUCUUCCGCAUGGUAGAACUAUUAAAGAAUUUCGGUCAUCGAUGGGGAUGCGUUCCAUUAGGUUGUUGGCGGGGUAACGGCCCACCAAGCCUUCGAUGGAUAGGGGUUCUGAGAGGAAGGUCCCCCACAUUGGAACUGAGACACGGUCCAAACUCCUACGGGAGGCAGCAGUGAGGAAUAUUGGUCAAUGGACGAGAGUCUGAACCAGCCAAGUAGCGUGAAGGAUGACUGCCCUAUGGGUUGUAAACUUCUUUUAUACGGGAAUAAAGUGAGGCACGUGUGCCUUUUUGUAUGUACCGUAUGAAUAAGGAUCGGCUAACUCCGUGCCAGCAGCCGCGGUAAUACGGAGGAUCCGAGCGUUAUCCGGAUUUAUUGGGUUUAAAGGGAGCGUAGGCGGACGCUUAAGUCAGUUGUGAAAGUUUGCGGCUCAACCGUAAAAUUGCAGUUGAUACUGGGUGUCUUGAGUACAGUAGAGGCAGGCGGAAUUCGUGGUGUAGCGGUGAAAUGCUUAGAUAUCACGAAGAACUCCGAUUGCGAAGGCAGCCUGCUGGACUGUAACUGACGCUGAUGCUCGAAAGUGUGGGUAUCAAACAGGAUUAGAUACCCUGGUAGUCCACACAGUAAACGAUGAAUACUCGCUGUUUGCGAUAUACAGUAAGCGGCCAAGCGAAAGCGUUAAGUAUUCCACCUGGGGAGUACGCCGGCAACGGUGAAACUCAAAGGAAUUGACGGGGGCCCGCACAAGCGGAGGAACAUGUGGUUUAAUUCGAUGAUACGCGAGGAACCUUACCCGGGCUUGAAUUGCAACUGAAUGAUGUGGAGACAUGUCAGCCGCAAGGCAGUUGUGAAGGUGCUGCAUGGUUGUCGUCAGCUCGUGCCGUGAGGUGUCGGCUUAAGUGCCAUAACGAGCGCAACCCUUAUCGAUAGUUACCAUCAGGUGAUGCUGGGGACUCUGUCGAGACUGCCGUCGUAAGAUGUGAGGAAGGUGGGGAUGACGUCAAAUCAUCAUGCCCCUUAUGAUCUGGGCUACACACGUGCUACAAUGGCGUAAACAAAGGGAGGCAAAGCCGCGAGGUGGAGCAAAUCCCAAAAAUAACGUCCCAGUUCGGACUGUAGUCUGCAACCCGACUACACGAAGCUGGAAUCGCUAGUAAUCGCGGAUCAGAAUGCCGCGGUGAAUACGUUCCCGGGCCUUGUACACACCGCCCGUCAAGCCAUGAAAGCCGGGGGUACCUGAAGUGCGUAACCGCAAGGAGCGCCCUAGGGUAAAACUGGUGAUUGGGGCU